ACAUGCCUACAACAUAGCAUUAAUGCACUAGAUCCCAUUAGAACUUUGCAGUUAAGCAUGCUCAGGCUAGAGUUGUACUAGGAUGGGUGAUCGCCCGGGAAGUCCUAGUGUUUUACAUGCC
rnacentral:rRNA from 1 species